rnacentral:rRNA from 1 species
UACGAGUGGCCCAAGCGUUAUCCGGAAUUAUUGGGCGUAAAGGAUGUGUAGGUGGUUGUAUUAGUCUGGUCUCUAACCUCUGAGCUCAACUUGGAGACAGCAUUGGAAACGGUACGGCUAGAGUAUGUUAGGGGUAAGCGGAACUAAUAGUGUAGGGGUGAAAUCCGUUGAUAUUAUUGGGAACACCAAAAGCGAAGGCAGCUUACUGGAACAUUACUGACACUGAGGCACGAAAGCGUGGGGAGCAAACAGG